CCACUGCUGGUGCGUGGUAUCAACAGGGCCCAGUACUGACGAUGCGGGGAGGUCAGAGCGAUGUAUCGCUGCUGAUGUCGGCGUUGCGGUCCUGGAUGGCGUUUCAUCGAAGCGACCGGCGACAGUGCACAGGCUUGCGCUAAUCCAUAUGAUGGGUGCAGUCUCGGCGUGACUCGAGCGUAUCCCACCGCCGGCUCUCAUACUGCCUGCUGACGCGGGGAGCCUGCCUGUAACCCCGAGAGAGGGAGAGGAGAUGCACCACGUGGCGACCGGCAUGGUGGGGGAAAGGCUGUGAGCCGACCUGCGGCGCGUGUGGAUCGGUCGGGCUCGAUGCAGAGACUGUGCUUUCAGACAACUGGGCCGGCGCAUGGGCUGUAACGCGUGUGUGCCUACGGCAUGCUUCGCACCACGCAAGUGGGGGCCCCAUGGCAGGUCCGAUGUGCGUGUGUGUGUGUGGGGGGGUGGAGAGUACUCGAGUGGAGGUGAAGCUCCAUGUUCCGUGGCAGGGAAACAGACACGUUGAAAACACACACAAAAAAAGAGAGAAUGCCCCGCGACUUACUGUGCACCUCACCUCUGAUUCCUGAAUCUCUCUCUGACUCUGCGCACAACACCCGCAUCCCGCUCCAACACACCCACCCACACAAAUGUCGGCUCGAACAAACUCUCCAACCUUUGCUGUAUACGCGAUGGGGCAACAACGUAUAUCAAG
rnacentral:misc_RNA from 1 species